rnacentral:rRNA from 1 species
CUUCCCAGCAUUUUGGACGGGAUCUUUAAGAAGCCUUCCGGUGACAAACUGGAGGAAGGGGGGGAGGACGUCAAGUCAUCAUGGCCCUUACGGCCAGGGCUACACACGUGCUACAAUGGUCGGUACAAAGGGUAGCCACACAGCGAUGUGAUGCUAAUCCAAAAAAGCCGAUCGUAGUCCGGAUUGCAGUCUGCAACUCGACUCCAUGAAGUCGGAAUCGCUAGUAAUCGUGGAUCAGCAUG